UACGACAUUGUUAUUAAGAGAAUUAUAAUAUAUUCCCUUUCGAAUAUGGCUUAUAAAGUUAAGAAAGGAUGAUUUUCGAGACGGCGUCUCUACAAUCCUGAUUACAGUUGAUUCGAGUGAAGUGCCGCGAGGCGAUGCCUGGGCCCCACCGACAACAGACGAAGGUUCCAACUACGGGCGAGUCUAUAAUACAGUUGUAGGGGGAGUCGACUUUAUGGGUAAACAUAACGUAGAAGACUAUCGAUAAUCGGGCCGAUCGAGCUUUAUUCGAUUAACGAUAAGACGAAAGAGGGAGUAAAUAAUUAUUUUUUGAAUAUAAUGUAAGUAUUUAGUGGCCAUUUUUUACGUGUUACGGAAAAAUUCGAGUAAUACCCUCAACCUAGGUUUGUGUUGUGGAAUAGACUAUUCCUUGUAUACUUGCGUUUGUAGCGCGGCCAUUUUUGCCUGCAAAUUCUAUCCGAUGAAAAUGGAGAUCGUUUCGAUGCUUUCUUCUAUAAUUUAUUCUCAAAUGUAACAGUUCAAUUCAGCUAAGGAAAUUAAUUAAAUUCCAAACUUUAAGAUUUAAGAAAAAUU